rnacentral:rRNA from 1 species
GACGAACGCUGGCGGCGUGCUUAACACAUGCAAGUCGAACGGAAAGGCCCCUUUGGGGGUACUCGAGUGGCGAACGGGUGAGUAACACGUGAGUAACCUGCCCUUGACUUCGGGAUAACUUCAGGAAACUGGGGCUAAUACCGGAUAGGAAUCCUUGCUGCAUGGUGGGGGUUGGAAAGCUUCGGCGGUUUUGGAUGGACUCGCGGCUUAUCAGCUUGUUGGUGGGGUAGUGGCUUACCAAGGCUUUGACGGGUAGCCGGCCUGAGAGGGCGACCGGCCACAUUGGGACUGAGAUACGGCCCAGACUCCUACGGGAGGCAGCAGUGGGGAAUAUUUCACAAUGGGCGGAAGCCUGAUGCAGCAACGCCGCGUGCGGGAUGACGGCCUUCGGGUUGUAAACCGCUUUCAGCAGGGGCGAAGCUUGUGGUGACGGUACCUGCAGAAGAAGCACCGGCUAACUACGUG